rnacentral:lncRNA from 1 species
AUAUAUAUAUAUAUAUAUAUAUACACAUUUGAAUAUAUGUGGGACAAGUAAGUAUUCUUUAUGCUUCAAGAGAUUUAUAUUAUCACAAUCCUUUCAGUAACAGCCGUGAUAAGUACAUGAUUGGUGAAUUUUAACUUGAGACAAACUAUUCCUUUCCAGAACCUCCAGUGGUGACUGACUUGUCUUUUAUAGAACGCUUUGGAACACAGUAGAUCACGUUGAUUACAUUUUGUCCUGAGCCAGGGCGCAUUGCAUUGUAUUAAACCAGUGGAUUGGAAUCAUUUUUGCUGAUCUAUAUUAAGAUAAUUUUACAAUCAUUGGAUGUUUUGUGACUAUCUUGCCUACAGUGAAGGGUAUAAACCCAACCUCAGUUUUUAAAGGGCUUUGGCAAAGUAGGUAAAUUUGUGCUUUUGCUAAUCAUAAGUGGAAAGAGAGGUAAAUUAUUCCGUAUUAUAAAGCACCAUGAUCAUAGAAUUAGACUGAUUUUAAAUUGCUUCUUUUACUUCGUAUGUAUUGAUCAACUCUUAAAAAAUCAAAAAUGUAUAUGAAAACCCACUAGGUUGGCUGGAAUUGUCUGAAAUAUUUCUCAUUUACUACAAAAAAAGAAGACAUAUGUGCUUGAGCUUCCUGGCAGAUGUUUAAAGGUGUCUGUACAACUUUAACUCUAGAUAUUGCUGUUUGAAGUUUUGAAGUUUUAGGACCUGGGGAGCAGGGUGCAACUUGAUAGCAAAAUCACAGAGUAUGUGCAGAGUGCAAUUUAUUUUGGCAGGUAAAAUAAUUCAUUUUGUAUUGAAAUGUUGGCCCAGAAGAUCAGCUGGGUAAAAACUUGCUAACAGUUGUGGCAGCCCAUGUUAAGUUCAGAAGAGUAAAGAUUGAUGAUUUUUUUUGUUAGAAAUCUCUGGUUUCGUCCUGGCAAACCCAUGUACUAAUUGGACAGGUUGGUGUUUAUUUUGGUGGUCCAUUGGGUAGGAUGUUCUAGUGGUACAGUCAGGGUUGUUUAGGUAGAUCCUUGGGUAGGAUGUUCAGGUGGUAUUGUUAUGAUUUUAUGUACUUAUGUAUAUUGAAAUAGUUGAGCUAUCUUUUGGUGGAACCAUAUAUGAGAUCUUCCCAUGGUGCAAUGAUGCCAUAACUAGGUAAACCUGUCAUAUGGGAGGUGGAGUUAAGCUGAGUAUCAUAUGAAAAUCUUAAGAUCCAAUUGCCUCAAAAGAGCUACACUACAGAUAGUUGGUUUUGUGGAUGUUUUUAAUUGUUCCUUUGGGUAUCCCGUCCCCAUUCUUCUUUGAGUGACAGCUGGUAAGACAGAAAAACUGACAAUUUUCCUGUAACUGUGAGCAAUUUAUGUGCCUCUUGGUUUAUAGUCCCUGGCUAUGUCAAUGAGUUCUCAAGGUCUGUUCUUGAAGACCCUGAACAGUCAUGACAUUGACAGUUUUAGAAUUUCUUCACCUGAGCAAAAGCAGAUUUUCAGGUUCAGUUAGACACGGAUUAAAUUGCUGAGGCUGUAAGGAGCAAUAAAAAUGUUUUGGGGGUUUCUGAUGACCAUCGUUGAGAACCUUUGAGUUGUGCCUAUCUAUUACUGGCUCUGAAUGUACAGACACAUCAGUAUUAUUAUUACGUUCUACUUCAUUCUGAGCUAAACAUGUCACUAUAGUCUAUGUUCCUUGUACAUGGGCCACAGAGAAGCCUGUUAGUUUUCCAAUAACAUGGGAGACUGCAUUAGAAACAAUCAUGUGAUGAAAGAGAGAUACUGUUACAAAGAGAAAACCGAAAUAAGUUUAAAAAAAAAAAGUUAAAGUGGCUCAAAAAUGUCUAAAGCAGCUAAAGAAAAUCUCUCCCCCAAGUAACAAAAAAAUAGAUACAUUGCAAACUAAAUUGAAAUGUAUUUGAAGUGCUAUUUAUUAAUGCGAGGGAUUUUUAAGGCAAAUAAAAUAAAGAUUUUAAUUAAAGAUUAGAAGAGAUAAACAAAGACCUACGCUCUUAGAUUAUAUAUAUAUUUUUUUUUUUUUUUUUUUUUUAAUGGGUUACUGCAUUUAUUUAAAAUUGGUCUUUGUUUCCAUUUUUUUAAAGUCUAUAACUUUUAUUGUAUUCCCUAAAGAUGACUUUGAAACAACAAAUUACCAGCUGGGAAAGAAUGCUGUUAAGUCUAUUCAUUGUCCGUCUUCUGUUGGGUAUAUAGUGUUAUUAUAAGGAUCAAUAAUUAGAAGGACAUGUUUAAAAUGUUUAUUUUUUAUUUGGAAGGCAAAAAAAUAUAUAACUAAAAAUAAGACGUUGAAAAAAGAUGGAAUGCCAUUUCUGUACACAGUACUGUAGCAAUUGAUUUCUAUUUUAGCCAUUACUUAUUAAUGAACUUCUUCAACGCCAGAGAAUCUUUGCAGCAACGAAACUGUAAAUCCUUCCCUGGCGUUUGGACGUUUAUCACCCCUAACCACUGGAAGAGGGGAUUGAAGUGUACGUAUUCCUCUUCCAGAUGGCACGGGGGUUAAGCCUCAAUCGAAUCCUUUUAUGGUUCUUGUACAGUUUUAUUUUUAUUUUUUUGUUUUGCGCGUGGUUGGUUAAAAAAAAAAAUGUAAAAAAAACUUUAAAAAAUGAAAUGUUUUACUUUUUUGUUUUUGUACAUAUUGUAAUGUUAAGAUUGUAAAUUAUUCUAUGGAUGACCACCUCUGGUUUGAGAGGUGCUAAUACGGUCAAUGCUCCUGGUGAGACAUAGAGCUGCAUUCUCUCUGUAUAUUUAUAUGGUGUAAUAUAGACAAACUGAAAAUUGUAAGAGUUGUUAUUUCUGAGAUUGUUGUAUCACAUUGCACUGUUCUCUGUACCUUACCAAAUCAUGAAUUACAACUUCUAAACAGAGUCAUGAAUUACAUGUUGUGUCUGUUUUGAAUUAUAAAUGUUCCAGUACCCACUA